rnacentral:rRNA from 1 species
UAGGAAUAUUCCACAAUGGGGGCAACCCUGAUGGAGCAACGCCGCGUGGAGGAUGAAGGCCUUCGGGUUGUAAACUUCUUUUCUCUGCGAUGAAUAUGACAGUAACAGAGGAAUAAGGGUCUGCUAACUACGUGCCAGCAGCCGCGGUCAUACGUAGGACCCAAGCGUUAUCCGGAUUGAUUGGGCGUAAGGAGUUGCGUAGGUGGUUUGUCAAGCGAAUAGUGAAAUCUUGUGGCUCAACCAUGAGGCUAUUAUUCGAACUGGCAAACUCGAGAACAGGAGAGGUAUCUGGAAUUCCCAGUGUAGGAGUGAAAUCCGUAGAUAUUGGGAGGAACACCAAUGGCGAAAGCAGGAUACUGGACUGUUUCUGACACUAAGGCACGAAAGCGUGGGGAGCGAA